GGAAGGAUCAUUACCGAGUUUUCGGGCUUCGGCUCGACUCUCCCACCCUUUGUGAACGUACCUCUGUUGCUUUGGCGGCUCCGGCCGCCAAAGGACCUUCAAACUCCAGUCAGUAAACGCAGACGUCUGAUAAACAAGUUAAUAAACUAAAACUUUCAACAACGGAUCUCUUGGUUCUGGCAUCGAUGAAGAACGCAGCGAAAUGCGAUAAGUAAUGUGAAUUGCAGAAUUCAGUGAAUCAUCGAAUCUUUGAACGCACAUUGCGCCCCUUGGUAUUCCGGGGGGCAUGCCUGUUCGAGCGUCAUUACAACCCUCAAGCUCUGCUUGGAAUUGGGCACCGUCCUCAUUGCGGACGCGCCUCAAAGACCUCGGCGGUGGCUGUUCAGCCCUCAAGCGUAGUAGAAUACACCUCGCUUUGGAGCGGUUGGCGUCGCCCGCCGGACGAACCUUCUGAACUUUUCUCAAGGUUGACCUCGGAU
rnacentral:rRNA from 1 species